rnacentral:misc_RNA from 1 species
ACCGGCGAGUACAGAGGCGGAUGGGGACUUGUGCCCCUUCUUCCUCGGCGCCGCCCCCGAAAUGAAUUGGCGGUCUCGUCGCGGCCUCCUCUGCGUAGUAGCACAACCUCGCAUCAGGAGCGCGGCGCGGCCACUGCCGUAAAACGCCCAACUUUUUUAAGAGUUGACCUCGAAUCAGGUAGGAAU